UUUGCCCUCUGGGACAGCAUUUUCAAUUUGCAAGCGGAGGGUCUGGGGUUCGAAUCCCCAAGCCUCCACCA
rnacentral:tRNA from 1 species